rnacentral:rRNA from 1 species
CCCUACGGGGCGCAGCCGGCCGGAUUUCAACAUCAUGCACUGAUUGAGUGGAAUCAUCACGCAGUCGACACUCUACGAUUAAAUAGUCAAGAUUACCUCUGCCUAAGUCCCGAUAAGAUAUUUAAUGGAGAUGCCCGAGAAUUUAAUUUUUCAGCUUAUCAAGGUAAAGUAGAUCUUCUUGCUGGAGGACCGCCAUGCCAACCGUUUUCAAACUCUGGAAAGAAUCUUGUGCACCUUGAUGAAAGAGAUAUGUUUCCAACAUUCAUUCAGGCAGUUCGAGAUGUUCGACCCAAAGCGAUACUUAUUGAGAAUGUAAAAGGUCUUCUCAGAGAAAAAUUCAAAGAUUAUUACGAUUACAUUUUGAGAAGCCUUGGUUACCCAUUUAUGAAAUGCCGUUCAAAUUCUGUUUUAGACGAAUUGGCGGGGGGGC